AUUGAACGCUGGCGGCAAGCCUAACACAUGCAAGUCGAACGAGUGGCGGACGGGUGAGUAAUGUCUGGGAAACUGCCUGAUGGAGGGGGAUCACUACUGGAAACGGUAGCUAAUUCCGCCUACCAUCGGAUGUGCCCAGAUUGGAUUAGCUAGUAGGGGGGGUAAAGGCUCACCUAGGCGACGAUCCCUCGCUGGUCCGAGAGGAUGUCCAGCCACACUGGAACGGAGACACGGUCCAGACUCCUACGGGAGGCAGCAGUGGGGAAUAUUGCACAAUGGGGGCAAGCCUGAUGCAGCCAUGCCGGGGGUAUGAAGAAGGCCUUCGGGUGGUAAAGUACUUUCAGCGGGGAGGCGUUACCCGCAGAAGAAGCACCGGCUAACUCCGUGCCAGCAGCCGCGGUAAUAC
rnacentral:rRNA from 1 species